UAACAGCAGUGUCUAUCCAUCUUCUAGUGACAGUGGUAACCCGAAGCAUUGACUGACCUUCAGGAUCUUGAUAACUAGUAAGAAACUGCAAAUACAACUGUGGAUUUGCAGUUCCUGGAGUACUUGACCUAUCACUUGAUGAAAGAUCAAAAAACACUGUCAAACAAGUGCUUUUGUCAAGGCCGCACAUUUUCCACAUAGUAGUAUUGCCCUCCCCAAUAACAGUAUCAGCAACAGCAGGA
rnacentral:misc_RNA from 1 species